AGGGGUAUAUAUGAUGCCCCCCCACGGGGGCCUCACAGAGUUUAGCGCACGUGAACCGUCGAUGCAUCUUACCAGCAAAUCUUGGCCGUGUAACUUUUUCACUGUCAUAUAAAAGGAAGAAGCACGGUAGAAAACCCUAGCCGCCAAUCUCGCGUCGCUCCUCCCCAAUCCCAUCUCUGCCCGACCUUCAGGCCCUCCCUGGCCCAAUCCCCUCUCGCCUCGUCGUCGCCGCCGCUGGGCUGCCCGGCGGAAUUAUCGCCGCCUCGUCGUCGCCAUCGCCGGCGGCUGCCGGUGGAGGCAGCAGGUCACCGCCUCGUCGCCGCUCUACCGGCUGGACGGCUCCGACCCGCGGCCGCGCCUCCGAUCCCCUCUCGCCUCGUCGUCGCCGCCGCCGGCCGCCGGCGGAAGUAGCGCCGCCUCGUCGUUGCCAUCGCCGGCGGCGCCAUGGUGCGCUGCCCCAAGCGCGGCGUGCUGCCUCCACGAACGCGAGUGUCCUGGUGGGUCGCCCCUGGCACUGCAUAGGAGCUCCGAUGGGGUCCUCGCUCCUUGUUUUCUCGCGGACGACCUCUACACCAGUACGUCACCAUGCCACCACGAGCCCCAUCGCUCCCUCCUCUCCAAGGAACAGCUGCAUAUGUACGAGCUCAUUGCUUCUUUUAGAUGCACUAGAGAUUGGGAUUGCCAAAUAGAAGAGGUCACCUGGGAGUGGCUUCAGGAGAUGAAAGAUUCCAUGAUGACUCUGUUGAGCAUACCAAUUGCAUGGACAAGUAUUGCAGCUGGUUAAUUUGUUGCUUGCCAAUUUUUAUUCCAUUAUCCAUGAAAGUGUUCUGAUAUAUAAUAUAAUUAAGGUGUUCCAUCCACGGACACUCAACAAGCAGUAAGAUUGGAUGAUACUUAGUUUAACCAAAGAUUUCCAUGUCCUAAGGUGCUGGUUCCAGUUGUUGAAAGAGCCCAGCAGCUUCGUGGCGGCAGUGCGUCUUCUGCUCUUUCCGUAUGAUAUAUAGCUCUCAUGUGGUUUUGUAUUUUGUGUUUCUUACCUUUGCAAUGGUUAUCUUUGACAGAGACUGUAAAUUUCCUAAUGGUUUUCCUCUUAUUGUAGAUUUCCUCUAUAGUGUUCGUGUCUCAUGUUGUUUUCCUGAUGCUUGUAGGCCUUUGUCGAUAUGUAGAAUGAAGCAUACAUUAUUUUGCGCUUAAUUUCUGAAGUUUAUAAAAAAGAGAGGAGAUUCUUACCUCUUAAUAAAGUAUACAGAUCUAAUUUCUGAUUAGGGAUACAGUUUCCUCCAUUGAAACAACAGAUUAACAGUAACUCUUGUAGGUUGUGGAUUAACAGUAACUCUUGUAGGUUGUGUCCAAUGUCCUCCCUGUGUUGGCGAUGACCCAGGCAAUUAGCAUUCCAGGUAUCCGUGCAGUGUACUACUUUUGCUUGUUGCUGCUUGGAGCUAUGGAAAUAUUCCAUUUCUAUUUGUCAUAUAUCCCGCAGGUUAGAAAUAAGUAAGUAAGAUACAAACUCCGGCAUGAUAUUGAAAUAAUUAAGUUUGAAAUAGAUGUGGCAUAUUUUUAAAUAUGUGCCAGGGGAGGACCAAGGCUUUAAUAGCAUGUGUUAUCUGCCUGAUUUGACAGUUUACAUACUUCAGCAGGAGAUACAAAAUGAUUAGAGCUUAAAGUGUGAGGCUAAUAAAGAGCACUUGUGUACAAAUAUGGAUAUUUCCAUAUCUGAUUAAACACAUCCGGGAGAAUAAGAUUUAGUUCAGUACAACGUUUUGAGUGAUAAAUAUUUAGACUUGAUAGAAGUGAUUCAUGCUAUCUAAUAAUGCUAAUCUCUGGGUUAAAACCUCCUUGAUUAGUUGUCAUAUUUUAGUGUAGCUAAUAUCUUGGGGCUACCACCUGCAUAUGAUGCAGAUACUUUGUUUAUUACAACAGAAAAUCAAUCUUGCGGGUUAUCCCAUCAGGCAUUUCACCUCCUUGAUUCAGAACAAGAAACCAACUGAUGUUUGUUGGAAUGCUGUACCUAUUUUCUUAUAGCCAUCGAACUCAAUAUUUAUGUUUUGAUACAAACGUAUAUACUUUUAUACCUGAUACAUGUUUAGGGAGUACAUGCAACUGACGUUCAAGAAAAAGAAAGUAUUUUCAUGUAUUUUUUUUGGCAAGGCCUUCAUUUAUACACUUAUGUACUGUUAUAAAUGACAUCUGAGAUAAAGAAUGAACAUUUGAGUACUACCAGGUGAUAAAGAAGCAUUUCCAUAGUGGAAUGUCUCGCUGCGGAGGAGCGGGGGUCACUCUGAGCGGGAUCAUAAGAUUAUCCUCAGAAAUGAAGGAUCAAUUGCUGUUUCUAUUAUGCUAGAGUUCUCGAAUUUACUGUAGAGUAUGACUCAGACAACAAACCAUUCCAAGAGACAGUUAAACCAAUGGUAGAUGGUGGAACAGAAGGUUUAGAAGGUUAUGCUAGAGUCAUUAUGCCAAGGAUAACACCUUGUUUUGAGCGCAACAUAUGGAUUUCCUCUCCCUAUAUCAAGUUUCCAUUGUGUACCUUCGCCAAGACUCAGAGUACUGCUGCUCAUUGCAUUGAGUAUGCUCGUUUCAUCAAAUGGGACAAGAACAUAUGCAGUGGAUUUAUUCAGAGGUUUGUUCUACUGUUAUGACAUGUAAUUUAGGUAGUGCUAUUCUUUCCCAGUCUAAUUUUCCAUUUACACAUGUACAUGCUUUAAAGAGAACAUAACUUUUUGGUGUUUCCGGAGUUACAUAUUCUUUGACUCAAGUUGUUUUCUUCUUCGUUUAUUCUGCAGACCUUAGAUGUAAUUUUAUUUCUUCCUUGUCUAUCCAAGAGUUUAAUACAUUUUCUAAAUUCACUAAUAAUGUAUUCCAUCAUUAAAAAUUAUAACAUUCUUGCCAGAAUCAUAGCAUGUGGUAUUUUAUUACCUUUAUUACACAUGAAACCAAUCCAACCUUAUUAUGUUAACCUCAUAUUCAAAUGAUCCCAGCAAUAUGGUGUUCGGCAGGUGAAAAUUCCGCUGCCAGUGGCGGACGUUUCGUGAGUGUGGAUGGCAUUGCAGCUCAAAUACGAAACCUGACAUAUAGAAUUGUAGCCCUGUCAAGAUUAUCACGUUUCUCUAGCAGUCUGAUGUACACCAAUACUAGGCUUUUAUUUCUGCUGCUUUUUCAUUGGAACCUUUGAAGCUUGUUUUUGGCUCCACCAGAAGUGUGUCAAAUUGGUUGCAUCAGGCCCCAUUCUUAGUUUGUUACUCAAAUAGUUGGUGCCACCAAAUAGUAAGAACGAAGGUUAUAUUUAACGAGUUAUUUAUGAAUAUUUCUAUUCUUACAUAUUAGCCAAAUCUAUUACCAUCUAAAUGCAAAAUAUAUGUAUGCCAAAAAUCCUGAGAUUUUCCAAGUGGACCAUGCAUAAAUGUGAUUUAGUCAGAAAGGCAUAGCACAACGUUUUUUUCAGAAAAUGCCACACGAUUGGCAUUUCUUGAACUGCUCCUAGAGAUUUGGUUUGGUUAGUUAUUCUCUACUCUAUUCUUCUGGCAAACAUAUAUUUUGCAUUUAGAUGGUAUGACUUGGCCAGUGAUCUCGGGUCAUAUUACAGUUUUUGCAUUGUUGAUAAACUCUUGUUCGGGAAAUCUUUUGUUCGAGCCAUUUAUUGCUUGAAUAUGUUAUAUAUACAUGACUGGAGGAUGGACACUAAGUAAUUCAUAUUCUCUGCUAAACUUGGUUGGUCGUACUUAAGAUGAAUUAGCUUCUGCUAAAAGUAGUGCACGUGGUCAUGCCAUCCUUAUCUUUAUACAUGCCAAGAAGGGCCUAAGCUCCAGCUGAGAUCACCGGUAGAUUCAGAUUGUGCCAACAAGGCAUCCCUACCCUCAGGCUGACUUAGGAUGUACACCUGCAACCUCAUAUUGAAGCCGUACCACUAAGGGGCAGCACAAUGGCAGUGUGUAGCCACCUAGAGAAGUGUUCUAUUUGCAGUAUAACUUCCUUCUCAUAUUAUCUAAUUGAAAAACAGUAGGUGCACAUCAGCGUGCAAUAUUUUCAGCACUCAGACUUCUAUACUCUGCAAUUAUAAGCUUUUCCAUUGAUCUGGCUUUUCCCAUCUACAGUUCUUCCUUUUAGUUAGUUGGUUCUGUCUCUCAAUACGCAAUCGGCAUGUACUACUAUUUAUGCUAUGUAGGACUGCAAAGCUGCUAUAAUUUAGCUUUCUCUUUAUGUCUCCAUUAGAUUCACUUCCAUUCUUUGUAAUGCAAGGCCAAUGCGCUCAAGAUUCUGGACGCCGAGGCCGCCAAGUGAAGUUGGCCGACUCACUUUUCGCCAAUUGACAUGGCAGCUCCCGCCAUUGGCAGCGGCGCGGUCUUCCCACAAGAAAGCUCCCUCUAUUUUCUCCAUCAGCUUCAGGAUUUUUUUUGGGCGGUGCCAACACCAGAAAUUGGUGGAUUGGGAUCGCACCAAAUACAGACUUCACCAGAGCCAACCUCCCUGGUUUUUGCAUAAAUCUCGAUUUCCAGGUGGGCAGUUUGCCUGCCAUUUUGAUAGCAAGGGGCAGUAGUUGGGCAGCAGUUAUAUGAAACAAAAAUGAAUUCUAUGUCCAGUUCGACUAUCUAGAAUAAAAUAACUGCUAUGAAUCCUCAGUUCAUAAAAAUAUUCAAAUUUAAUUUUACUUGAUCACGUUGACAGUUAGAAGCUUUGAACCAUGUUUUUUUUGCAUAGUAUGCAGUUUAUACAAUCAGAGUAGCUGCUAAAACAGAAGUGGUUGUAAGAUACUUUGCAUUGCAUAUGGUUUUAGAUCAUUGCCUCACAUGGAGCUGAACCAUCCGUCCGCAAUGUCAUCGCCAAGUUCAGAGACGCAGCUGCCCUUUGGUUCAGAGCUGGCGCGUCGAGUCUGCGUGUCCUCCUGCCGCCCACCUGGGAUGUCCACUGAGUUGUAAUCUCUGUUUAUCUUUUCAGAACCAUGGCCUCUUAGGAGGAUUGUAACAACUAACUCUUCCCUUCUUUUUAAUGAAAUGAAAUGCAAAAGUUUUUUGCGUUUUCUCGAAAAAGAUCAUUGCCUCACCGCCGUUGCCUUUUGGUCAAUUUCUAUCUUCCGUAGGUUGGAUUGAGGUAGAGCGUGGUCACCGACUACCAGAGGUGUUGCAAAAUGGGUCUGCUGGCUGAUACGGAGAAGCAAGGCAAGGUUUUGGUGCAUGGAUCAGUAGAAGCUUUUAAUAAGUACAUUUUAAAUACAUUGGGCAAAUACUUCAGACUUGCUUAUUUAUGGUCCUCGUGUAUAAGGAAAAAUGAUGUAGCAUUAGAUUUAUGUGCUUACUAGGUUUGUUUGUUCAUUCUGGAGCUUUUUUAAUUCUCAGAAAAAACAUUGUGUUAAUUCUUACCUGUUGGAUUUGAUAAGAUAAGAGCUAAUAUUUAAUAGCUAUCGACUUAUCAUUGCCGGUCACUUUUACCGCUUCUCUGUCAUGAUUCAAUGUGCACUCAAAAAAGCCUUGGCUGAAAUAAUGAAAUGGAAGAUAUACACUCUGCUCUGCUCAAUCUUUCACACCGGAUCCUUUUUUUUAAAUGCUAUACUAUUUGCUUCCUAUUUAUAGGUAUUUGGUUCAAGUGGGCAAGAUUAACUUUUUG